GCUGAAUCUAGUUCAAACAAUUAAUACUGAAUUUUAUAUCUGCAGGCAGUGUAAUAAACUGGAAUAUAGUUUUCACUCUGAUCAGUCACAUGAGAGGUAUCUCCUUACUGCUGCAUCCCCUUAAGCAUCCUUAUUCACCCAUACCUGCAUUCUGGCAAGUGCUGCAGCCUCUCCACCAUUAUUUUAUGUACAGACCUCAGCCAGGGCUCAUUUUUUUGGGAGUUAGACACCCCCUCCUCAAUGUGCCACUGAAAACGCACCAAGAGCCAGAGGCUGAGCCCAAAUUCAGAAGCUGAUGGACUGGAUCAGAGCACUCACCGAGGAGUGUGGUGAUGGGAGCAGCCUUGUUGGUUCUUAAUCUUCAAGAUUUGGGAGUUUGUUGUUGUUUUGGUUUGAUGUUUUUAAGAAUAGUCCCAUUAGGGAUAGAAGGAAGUGGUGAAAGGAAAGAUUUACUAAACUCUUCACAAAAUAGGCUGGUAUUAUUGGUCCAAAUUAAUGUUCUGACAUGGUUUUUUCUUCUAAAUAUUUUUUCUUAGUUGUGCAUAAAAUGCAGCAUGAGCUUGUCACAGAUGAAGACUAGGGCCUUUUUUGAAGCCUCAACAUUGCUGCAUGUUGCAGUUGACCACAGUUUAUUUUAAAAAGAGCAGGUGGACAAGGAAGCUGUUGGCCUGCUCAUUUACAGUUGUUGCCAUCAAGAGCAAAUAUUCUCAGUCAAUGCUGAAAUAAAAAAUGUGAAGGUGCUGGAUCUGCUGUCAGCCGGGCAGCUCUAAACAGGAGUUGGGAAAAACCUGAAGAUUUCAAAUGAAGAUGGAUGCUCAGCUGGGGCUCAUUUGGAGAAGUUUUCAGUAGCAGUUCUGCAGAACUUUUCCACUCUUGGAGUUUGAACCUUUGUCUCCCACGUUCCAGUGGAAGGUGUCC